UACGUAGGGGGCAAGCGUUAUCCGGAUUUACUGGGUGUAAAGGGAGCGUAGACGGCUUUGCAAGCCAGACGUGAAAGCCCGGGGCUCAACCCCGGGACUGCAUUUGGAACUGCGUGGCUAGAGUGUCGGAGAGGCAGGCGGAAUUCCUAGUGUAGCGGUGAAAUGCGUAGAUAUUAGGAGGAACACCAGUGGCGAAGGCGGCCUGCUGGACGAUGACUGACGUUGAGGCUCGAAAGCGUGGGGAGCAAACAGG
rnacentral:rRNA from 1 species